rnacentral:misc_RNA from 1 species
CUGCUGCUUCUUCUGUUACAAGCUCGAAGUCAUGGGAAGAAUUCAGAAAGUAUCGCUCCCAGCAUCCAGGCCCUCUAUCUAUGAGGGCCUUCCAUCGCUGGUGUUUGUAUGGGGACGACCAUCCCUCCUUUAGAUGGAGGGAUGGCACCCCAUACAACACGGGGAAUAGAGCGGAUGCUGGGAGGAGAAGACAACGUGGCGCAAAA